CAUCCAGACUCCUACGGGAGGCAGCAGUGGGGAAUAUUGCACAAUGGGGGGAACCCUGAUGCAGCGACGCCGCGUGAGUGAAGAAGUAUUUCGGUCUGUAAAGCUCUAUCAGCAGGGAAGAAAAUGACGGUACCUGACUAAGAAGCCCCGGCUAACUACGUGCCAGCAGCCGCGGUAAUACGUAGGGGGCAAGCGUUAUCCGGAUUUACUGGGUGUAAAGGGAGCGUAGACGGCAGAGCAAGUCUGAAGUGAAAGCCCGCGGCCCAACUGCGGGAUUGCUUUGGAAACUGCCCGGCUAGAGUGCUGGAGAGGUAAGCGGAAUUCCUUGUGUAGCGGUGAAAUGCGUAGAUAUAAGGAAGAACACCAGUGGCGAAGGCGGAUGACUGGACGGCAACUGACGGUGAGGCGCGAAAGCGUGGGGAGCAAACAGGAUUAGAUACCCUAGUACA
rnacentral:rRNA from 1 species